rnacentral:rRNA from 1 species
AGAAUCAACGCUGGCGGCGUGCCUAACACAUGCAAGUCGCACGAGAAAGGGGCUUCGGCCCUGAGUAAAGUGGCGCACGGGUGAGUAACACGUGACUAACCUACCCUCGAGUGGGGAAUAACCUAGAGAAAUCUGGGCUAAUACCGCAUAACACUUACGAGUCAAAGCAGCAAUGCGCUUGAGGAGGGGUCGCGGCAGAUUAGUUAGUUGGCAGGGUAAUGGCCUACCAAGACGAUGAUCUGUA